rnacentral:lncRNA from 1 species
UCGUUCGACGUUACGCGCGACUGGAACUAGGUUCCGCUGGUUUAUACGCAAAUGUGAGUCAAGAAGCAGGGGUAUUUUAAUCGAUAUUAGAACGAGAAGGAGAGGUGCAGUGUGAACGCAGAAGGAAACAAUUGAUGGGAGGGGGAGGGAAGGAGAAGGCGUGUAUGUAUUUUCAGCACGAAAUGAAACAAGUGCGAUCAUACCAGCACU